AGUGAACGCUGGCGGUAGGCCUAACACAUGCAAGUCGAACGGCAGCACAGUAAGAGCUUGCUCUUACGGGUGGCGAGUGGCGGACGGGUGAGGAAUACAUCGGAAUCUACUUUUUCUGGGGUGAUAACGGAGGGAAACUGACGCUAAUACCGCAUACGACCUACGGGUGAAAGCAGGGGAUCUUCGGAGCUUGCGCGUCUGAAGGAGCCGAUGUCGGAUUAGCUAGUUGGCGGGGUAAAGGCCCACCAAGGCGACGAUCCGUAGCUGGUCUGAGAGGAUGAUCAGCCACACUGGAACUGAGACACGGUCCAGACUCCUACGGGAGGCAGCAGUGGGGAAUAUUGGACAAUGGGCGCAAGCCUGAUCCAGCCAUACCGCGUGGGUGAAGAAGGCCUUCGGGUUGUAAAGCCCUUUUGUUGGGAAAGAAAAGCAGCAGGUUAAUACCCCGCUGUUCUGACGGUACCCAAAGAAUAAGCACCGGCUAACUUCGUG
rnacentral:rRNA from 1 species